GGCCUGGUGGUGUAAUUAGAGCACAUUCCUGCCUCGAUAUGUUGCGAGUCGUCCCCCCCCUACUCUAAGUAGGGCUUAUUCCUCAACCUCUAUUGAGCAGGAAAUGAAUGGGUUCGAUUCCCAUCCAGGCCA